rnacentral:rRNA from 1 species
AGUGAACGCUGGCGGUAGGCCUAACACAUGCAAGUCGAACGGCAGCACAGUAAGAGUUUGCUCUUACGGGUGGCGAGUGGCGGACGGGUGAGGAAUACAUCGGAAUCUACUUUUUCGUGGGGGAUAUCGUAGGGAAACUUACGCUAAUACCGCAUAUGACCUACGGGUGAAAGCAGUGGAUCUUCGGACCUUGCGCGUUUGAAUGAGCCGAUGUCGGAUUAGCUAGUUGGCGGGGUAACGGCACACCAAGGCGACGAUGCGUAGCUGGUCUGAGAGGAUGAUCAGCCACACUGGAACUGAGACACGGUCCAGACUCCUACGGGAGGCAGCAGUGGGGAAUAUUGGGCAAUGGGCGCAAGCCUGAUCCAGCCAUACCGCGUGAGUGAAGAAGGCCUUCGGGUUGUAAAGCCCUUUUGUUGGGAAAGAAAAAAAGCAGGUUAAUACCCCGCUGUUCUGACGGUACCCAAAGAAUAAGCACCGGCUAACUUCGUG